rnacentral:lncRNA from 1 species
AAUUCUUAUGUAGUGUAGCCUCUUCUUUGCAAGAAAGCAUCAUUUUAGGGUAAGAGCCAUUUCUCAGAUGUUCACCUUACUUUCUGUAGUAAGGCUUCAACAUGCUUGUGACUGCCUAUAACCCUAUCUUCAUCUUUCAAGGCCUGUGGAUACUGAAAACAAAACAAUGAAAGAACAAGACCUCUGAUAGAUUUCAUGGGCUUCUUGGAGGACCAACGUCAGUCAAUGGAAGUGUGAUGACUUAUCAGAGGCUUCCUUGGUUGCAGUACAGAAGAUGCAAUGCCAGCAGUGCUUUUUCAGGAGCUCCCUCUGAAGAAGAUCAUGGCUCAGUUACCAUGGACACCAAGAAGCUAUGCAGCUUUUUAUUCUUUUUACUUCCUUCAUUAUGUGCCCUCCCAGGAAAUAUAUUUUCAUUAGUAACUAGGUUUUGAAACUUUUGCCAAGACACCAGCCUAACCUAUUGCUCUCUAAACAAAUACCUUCAGUAUCUAAUACAUAGGUAUAUGCCAGUCUGAGCCAACUGUGCUAUUAGGAAACUAAUAAAUACUCCUUUGCUUCCUAUUUAAUGAGAAAAAGCACGACAAUAUUGCUCAU